AUUAAACGCUGGCGGCAGGCCUAACACAUGCAAGUCGAGCGAGCGGCGGACUGGUGGGUAAUGUCUGGGAAACUGCCUGAUGGAGGGGGAUAACUCCUGGAAACGGUCGCUAAUACCGCCUACCAUCGGCUUUUCCAGGAUGGGCUUAGCUAGUCGGUGGGGUAAAGGCUCACCUAGGCGACGAUCCCUAGCUGGUCUGAGAGGAUGACCAGCCACACUGGAACUGAGACACGGCCCAGACUCCUACGGGAGGCAGCAGUGGGGAAUAUUGCACAAUGGGCGCAAUCCUGAUGCAGCCAUGCCGCGUGUAUGAAGAAGGCCUUCGGGUUGGAAAGUACUUUCAGCGGGGAGGCGUUACCCGCAGAAGAAGCACCGGCUAACUCCGUGCCAGCAGCCGCGGUAAUAC
rnacentral:rRNA from 1 species